rnacentral:tRNA from 1 species
GGCGACGUAGCCAAGUGGCAAGGCAGCUGUCUGCAAAACAGCUAUUCAGCGGUUCGAAUCCGCUCGUCGCCUCAA